rnacentral:rRNA from 1 species
UAAACGAUGCACACUCGAUGUAGGGACCCUCGACCUGGUCUCUGUGUCUAAGCUAACGCGUUAAGUGUGCCGCCUGUGAACUACGAGCGCAAGCUUAAAACAUAAAGGAAUAGACGGGGGUCCACACAAGCGGUGGAACGCGGGGUUUAAUACGUUAAUCAGCGUGUAACCUUACCCAGACUUGACAUCCUGAUCGUACCUUUUAGAAAUAAUUGGGUCAUUUAGUUGGAUCAGUGACAGGCGUUGCAUGGCUGUCGUCAGCUCGUGCCUUGAGGUGUACGGUUAAGUCCGAUAACGAGCGCAACCCUCGCCGUGUGUUGUAUUUUCACACGGGACUGCCCAGCAUUCUGAAUAUUUUACGAAGUAUUUAGGAUGUUGGGAGGAAGGUGAGGAUGACGUCAAGUCAGCAUGACCCUUAUGUCUGGGGCUACACCCACGUUACAAUGGCGUGUACAGUCCGAAGCGAUGCAGCGAUGCGGAGCCAAUCGGUUAAAACACGUCUCAGUUCGGAUCGUGGUCUGCAACUCGACCACGUGAAGCCGGAAUCGCUAGUAACCGUGUAUCAGUCAUGGCACGGUGAAUAUGUUCCUGGACCUUGUACUCACCGCCCGUCAAGGCAUGGAAGCCGGGGAUGCCCGAAGUCUGCGAAACAAUCGUGGCCUAAGGUAGAAUCGGUAACUGGGCUUAAGUCGUAACAAGGUAACCGUAA